UGACGAGAAGACCCCGUCAAACUUUAAUUAUCAUAUAUAAAAGUGAAAAUACAAAAUAUAAAUUAAUUUUAGUUGGGGCAACUGGGAGGGAUAAAAAUCUUUUAUUAAAUCAUUUAUAAUAAUAUUUAUAUUUAUGAUCCAAAUUAGUUAAUUUUGAAUUUAGAAU
rnacentral:rRNA from 1 species